GAUGAAGAACGUAGCGAAAUGCGAUAAGUAAUGUGAAUUGCAGAAUUCAGUGAAUCAUCGAAUCUUUGAACGCACAUUGCGCCCGCCAGUAUUCUGGCGGGCAUGCCUGUUCGAGCGUCAUUUCAACCAUCAAGCCCCCGGCUUGUGUUGGGGACCUGCGGCUGCCGCAGGCCCUGAAAACCAGUGGCGGGCUCGCUAGUCACUCCGAGCGUAGUAAUACAUCUCGCUCAGGGCGUGCUGCGGGUUCCGGCCGUAAAACUACCAAUUUAUCAAGGUUGACCUCGGAUCAGGUAGGAAUACCCGCUGAACUUAAGCAUAUCAAUAAGCGGAGGA
rnacentral:misc_RNA from 1 species